rnacentral:rRNA from 1 species
UACGGAGGAUGCAAGCGUCAUCCGGAUUUAUUGGGUUUAAAGGGUGCGCAGGUUGUUUGAUAAGUCAGUGGUGAAAGUCUGUCGCUUAACGGUAGGAUUGCCAUUGAUACUGUUAGACUUGAAUAUGGAUGAGGUAGGCGGAAUGUGUAGUGUAGCGGUGAAAUGCAUAGAUAUUACACAGAACACCGAUUGCGAAGGCAGCUUACUAAUCCAUCAUUGACGCUGAGGCACGAAAGCGUGGGGAUCAAA